GGUCUUCAUUGGCACCUACUCACCUUCAUCAAACAUGGCGCCAUCCUAGCAUCACAAGAAGGCACCAGCCCUAGAGGCCGUGGACAUCAUUUCCAAACAAAGCCAGACUGAAUGGUGGACAGCAUCCACCUGCUCACCUUAAUUUAUCAGUGAGAAAAUUGGGGUCCUGAGAUAGGACGUGAAUUGUCCAAAGUUCCGUAACUCAGGUCUCUGAACUCCCACUCUUGGGCUUACCGUUAGAAGAAAGGGACAAAAAAGACAGGGCACCUGAAGUUUUGGAUGUUUGAAAAAUGUGCUAAAGAAGGCUUAAUCCCUGGAAGCCGUGAGAAGAUCUGUUUUCCAGGUGUUGCCCCAGGGGAUAAUGACACUCCUCACUGGCCCACUCUGGCUGGGCCAGCACCCAUCCUUUCUCCAUGACCUUGCAUGCGUCCUUCCAACAGAACAGGGUCUAUUGAGAGGUAGACCUCUUGAGUCCGGGGUCUGCGUCUACUGUGUCAUUAUUCAGGGCUGAU
rnacentral:lncRNA from 1 species